AUUGAACGCUGGCGGCAGGCCUAACACAUGCAAGUCGAGCGAGCGGCGGACGGGUGAGUAAUGUAUGGGGACUGCCCGAUAGAGGGGGAUAACUACUGGAAACGGUAGCUAAUACCGCAUACUAUCGGAUAACCCAUAUGGGAUUAGCUAGUUGGUGAGGUAAUGGCUCACCAAGGCGACGAUCCCUAGCUGGUCUGCGAGGAUGAUCAGCCCCACUGGGACUGAGACACAGCCCAGCUUCCUACGGGGGCAGCAGUGGGGAAUAUUGCCCAAUUGGCGCAAGCCUGAUGCAGCCAUGCCGCGUGUAUGAAGGAGGCCCUAGGGUUUUAAAGUACUUUCAGUCGGGAGGCGUUACCGACAGAAGAAGCACCGGCUAACUCCGUGCCAGCAGCCGCGGUAAUUC
rnacentral:rRNA from 1 species